UACGGGGGAGCAAGCGUUGUUCGGAUUACUGGCGUAAAGGGCGCGUAGGCGGCCACGCAAGUCGACUGUGAAAUCUCCGGGCUUAACCCGGAAAGGUCAGCCGAUACUGCGGGGCUAGAGUGCAGAAGGGGCAACUGGAAUUCUCGGUGUAGCGGUAGAAAUGCGUAGAUAUCGAGAGGAACACCUGCGGCGAAGGCGGGUGCUGGGCUGACACUGACGCUGAUGCGCGAAAGCUAGGGGAGCGAACGGG
rnacentral:rRNA from 1 species